UAAGUUAUUAAGGGCGCACGGUGGAUGCCUUGGCACUAGAAGCCGAUGAAGGACGUUACUAACGACGAUAUGCUUUGGGGAGCUGUAAGUAAGCUUUGAUCCAGAGAUUUCCGAAUGGGGAAACCCAGCAUGAGUUAUGUCAUGUUAUCGAUAUGUGAAUACAUAGCAUAUCAGAAGGCACACCCGGAGAACUGAAACAUCUUAGUACCCGGAGGAAGAGAAAGAAAAUUCGAUUCCCUUAGUAGCGGCGAGCGAAACGGGAAGAGCCCAAACCAAAAAGCUUGCUUGUUGGGGUUGUAGGACACUCUAUACGGAGUUACAAAGGACGACAUUAGACGAAUCAUCUGGAAAGAUGAAUCAAAGAAGGUAAUAAUCCUGUAGUCGAAAAUGUUGUCUCUCUUGAGUGGAUCCUGAGUACGACGGAGCACGUGAAAUUCCGUCGGAAUCUGGGAGGACCAUCUCCUAAGGCUAAAUACUCUCUAGUGACCGAUAGUGAACCAGUACCGUGAGGGAAAGGUGAAAAGCACCCCGGAAGGAGAGUGAAAUAGAACCUGAAACCGUGUGCUUACAAGUAGUCAGAGCCCGUUAAUGGGUGAUGGCGUGCCUUUUGUAGAAUGAACCGGCGAGUUACGAUUUGAUGCAAGGUUAAGCAGUAAAUGUGGAGCCGUAGCGAAAGCGAGUCUGAAUAGGGCGUUUAGUAUUUGGUCGUAGACCCGAAACCAGGUGAUCUACCCUUGGUCAGGUUGAAGUUCAGGUAACACUGAAUGGAGGACCGAACCGACUUACGUUGAAAAGUGAGCGGAUGAACUGAGGGUAGCGGAGAAAUUCCAAUCGAACCUGGAGAUAGCUGGUUCUCUCCGAAAUAGCUUUAGGGCUAGCCUCAAGUGAUGAUUAUUGGAGGUAGAGCACUGUUUGGACGAGGGGCCCCUCUCGGGUUACCGAAUUCAGACAAACUCCGAAUGCCAAUUAAUUUAACUUGGGAGUCAGAACAUGGGUGAUAAGGUCCGUGUUCGAAAGGGAAACAGCCCAGACCACCAGCUAAGGUCCCAAAAUAUAUGUUAAGUGGAAAAGGAUGUGGCGUUGCCCAGACAACUAGGAUGUUGGCUUAGAAGCAGCCAUCAUUUAAAGAGUGCGUAAUAGCUCACUAGUCGAGUGACACUGCGCCGAAAAUGUACCGGGGCUAAACAUAUUACCGAAGCUGUGGAUUGUCCUUUGGACAAUGGUAGGAGAGCGUUCUAAGGGCGUUGAAGCAUGAUCGUAAGGACAUGUGGAGCGCUUAGAAGUGAGAAUGCCGGUGUGAGUAGCGAAAGACGGGUGAGAAUCCCGUCCACCGAUUGACUAAGGUUUCCAGAGGAAGGCUCGUCCGCUCUGGGUUAGUCGGGUCCUAAGCUGAGGCCGACAGGCGUAGGCGAUGGAUAACAGGUUGAUAUUCCUGUACCACCUAUAAUCGUUUUAAUCGAUGGGGGGACGCAGUAGGAUAGGCGAAGCGUGCGAUUGGAUUGCACGUCUAAGCAGUAAGGCUGAGUAUUAGGCAAAUCCGGUACUCGUUAAGGCUGAGCUGUGAUGGGGAGAAGACAUUGAGUCUUCGAGUCGUUGAUUUCACACUGCCGAGAAAAGCCUCUAGAUAGAAAAUAGGUGCCCGUACCGCAAACCGACACAGGUAGUCAAGAUGAGAAUUCUAAGGUGAGCGAGCGAACUCUCGUUAAGGAACUCGGCAAAAUGACCCCGUAACUUCGGGAGAAGGGGUGCUCUUUAGGGUUAACGCCCAGAAGAGCCGCAGUGAAUAGGCCCAAGCGACUGUUUAUCAAAAACACAGGUCUCUGCUAAACCGUAAGGUGAUGUAUAGGGGCUGACGCCUGCCCGGUGCUGGAAGGUUAAGAGGAGUGGUUAGCUUCUGCGAAGCUACGAAUCGAAGCCCCAGUAAACGGCGGCCGUAACUAUAACGGUCCUAAGGUAGCGAAAUUCCUUGUCGGGUAAGUUCCGACCCGCACGAAAGGCGUAACGAUUUGGGCACUGUCUCAACGAGAGACUCGGUGAAAUCAUAGUACCUGUGAAGAUGCAGGUUACCCGCGACAGGACGGAAAGACCCCGUGGAGCUUUACUGUAGCCUGAUAUUGAAAUUCGGCACAGCUUGUACAGGAUAGGUAGGAGCCUUUGAAACGUGAGCGCUAGCUUACGUGGAGGCGCUGGUGGGAUACUACCCUAGCUGUGUUGGCUUUCUAACCCGCACCACUUAUCGUGGUGGGAGACAGUGUCAGGCGGGCAGUUUGACUGGGGCGGUCGCCUCCUAAAAGGUAACGGAGGCGCUCAAAGGUUCCCUCAGAAUGGUUGGAAAUCAUUCAUAGAGUGUAAAGGCAUAAGGGAGCUUGACUGCGAGACCUACAAGUCGAGCAGGGUCGAAAGACGGACUUAGUGAUCCGGUGGUUCCGCAUGGAAGGGCCAUCGCUCAACGGAUAAAAGCUACCCCGGGGAUAACAGGCUUAUCUCCCCCAAGAGUUCACAUCGACGGGGAGGUUUGGCACCUCGAUGUCGGCUCAUCGCAUCCUGGGGCUGUAGUCGGUCCCAAGGGUUGGGCUGUUCGCCCAUUAAAGCGGUACGCGAGCUGGGUUCAGAACGUCGUGAGACAGUUCGGUCCCUAUCCGUCGUGGGCGUAGGAAAUUUGAGAGGAGCUGUCCUUAGUACGAGAGGACCGGGAUGGACAUACCUCUGGUGUACCAGUUGUCGUGCCAACGGCAUAGCUGGGUAGCUAUGUGUGGACGGGAUAAGUGCUGAAAGCAUCUAAGCAUGAAGCCCCCUCAAGAUGAGAUUUCCCAACUUCGGUUAUAAGAUCCCUCAAAGAUGAUGAGGUUAAUAGGUUCGAGGUGGAAGCAUGGUGACAUGUGGAGCUGACGAAUACUAAUCGAUCGAAGACUUAAUCA
rnacentral:rRNA from 1 species